rnacentral:rRNA from 1 species
GAAGGGGGGGUCGAUUUAGCCAUGCUAGUUGCACGAGUUCACACUCGUGGCGAAAAGCUCAGUAACACGUGGCCAAACUACCCUACAGAGAACGAUAACCUCGGGAAACUGAGGCUAAUAGUUCAUACGGGAGUCAUGCUUGAAUGCCGACUCCCCGAAACGCUCCGGCGCUGUAGGAUGUGGCUGCGGCCGAUUAGGUAGACGGUGGGGUAACGGCCCACCGUGCCAAUAAUCGGUACGGGUUGUGAGAGCAAGAACCCGGAGACGGAAUCUGAGACAAGAUUCCGGGCCCUACGGGGCGCAGCAGGCGCGAAACCUUUACACUGCACGCAAGUGCGAUAAGGGGACCCCAAGUGCGAGGGCAUAUAGUCCUCGCUUUUCACGACUGUAAGGCGGUCGUGGAAUAAGAGCUGGGCAAGACCGGUGCCAGCCGCCGCGGUAAUACCGGCAGCUCAAGUGAUGACCGAUAUUAUUGGGCCUAAAGCGUCCGUAGCCGGCCACGAAGGUUCAUCGGGAAAUCCGCCAGCUCAACUGGCGGGCGUCCGGUGAAAACCACGUGGCUUGGGACCGGAAGGCUCGAGGGGUACGUCUGGGGUAGGA